CGCUAUCACUCCUACGGGAGGCAGCAGUGAGGAAUAUGGGAAAUGGGCGAGGCCUGCAUCAGCCAUGACCGAGUGCAGGAAGAAUGCCCUAUGGUAGUAACUGUCUUUUAUACGGGAAAGAAAAGGGGCACGUGUGCCCUGUUGACGGUACCGUAAGAAUAAGGACCGGCUAACUCCGUGCCAGCAGCCGCGGUAAUACGGAGGGUCCGAGCGUUAUCCGGAAUUAUUGGGGUUUAAAGGGUCCGUAGGCGGGCCGGUAAGUCAGGGGUGAAAGUCUGUAGCUCAACUAUAGAACUGCCUUUGAUACUGCCGGUCUUGAGUCACGGUGAAGUUGCCGGAAUAUGUGGUGUAGCGGUGAAAUGCAUAGAUAUCACAUAGAACACCGAUUGCGAAGGCAGGUGACUAACCGUGUACUGACGCUGAUGGACGAAAGCGUGGGGAGCGAACAGGAUUAGAUACCCUGGUAG
rnacentral:rRNA from 1 species